UACGAAGGGGGCUAGCGUUGUUCGGAAUUACUGGGCGUAAAGCGUAUGCAGGCGGACUUUUAAGUCGGGGGUGAAAUCCCGAGGCUCAACCUCGGAACUGCCUUCGAUACUGGAAGUCUUGAGUCCGGGAGAGGUGAGUGGAACUCCGAGUGUAGAGGUGAAAUUCGUAGAUAUUCGGAAGAACACCAGUGGCGAAGGCGGCUCACUGGCCCGGUACUGACGCUGAGGUGCGAAAGCGUGGGGAGCAAACAGG
rnacentral:rRNA from 1 species